AAUAAUAAUUAUUAAUCGGCAGUUAACCACUAGGGGAGUUUGUGCUUAUUAGGAUAUUUGGAUUACGUGAUUAAUCCUCUAACUAAUUGUUGAAUAAUGAUUACUAUAACAGCAUUAUCUGUUCUGAUUCAGUGUUCUGCAGAUUCUGAUCUCAUAGAAGUUUUUCCCACAUUCAAUCCUCAUUAAGAUUUGAAAGCAUCUCUACCUUCUGUCAAAAAGAAGAUAUAUCAUCAAGUUUUGUUGUGUUCCAUGACAUAUUAAGGAAAUGAACUAGCUGGCAUUGCUUCCAAGUCAGCCACAGGUUUAUAGAAUCCUUUUUACUGAUUUUAAACCAAUCAUCAAAGAGAAGCUGAAGUAAUUAUGGUAGAAUAUAUGGGAUGUACUAUCUAGCAACAAAUUAUGAUAUUAAGCCUUUAUUCAAACAAUGGGACUCCAGCCACUUCAGAAACAGGAAAGUGGAAGUCAUUCUUGCAAAGAAUAUUAUUUGGCAUAGUUGUCUCAUUUAUAGAUAUCUUUUGAUGGGUGAAGUCCAGCUGUUUGUUAUCACUGCCAUUGUGCCCUUAACAUUAAACCCAUUUUAAUUGAGUGCCCUUAUUUUACAAUGGAAUGUUUUUACAUUUUAGUUAUUCUGUUCACUAUUUUUUAACUGCAUUAAACCCAAAUUCCAUUAAAUAUAAGAAAAUAUAGCACUUUUUGCAGUUUGGCUUUAACAUUAUGAGAGCUUCCUGAACAAUUACAUAAAGGAAUCGAAAGCAGU
rnacentral:lncRNA from 1 species